CGAAAAGGGCGUUUGGUGAAUGCCUUGGCAGUAAGAGGCGAUGAAGGACGUGAUACUCUGCGAUAAGUCAUGGGGAGCUGAGAAUAAGCUUUGAUCCAUGAAUUUCUGAAUGGGGCAACCCACCUGAUACUUUGUUAUUAUUACCCUUCGGGGUGAUUAAUAAUGAGGUAAACCAGGUAUUUUUAACCUGAAUACAUAGGGUUAAAAAAGCAAACCCGGGGAACUGAAACAUCUAAGUACCCGGAGGAAAGGAAAUCAACAGAGACUCCCCUAGUAGCGGCGAGCGAACGGGGACCAGCCGAGCUGUGCGUGUGAUUAGAAUGGUCUGGAAAGGCCAACCAUAGUGGGUGACAGUCCCGUAUAAUAAGCACAAUCAGACGUAUUAAGUAGGGCGGAACACGUGAAAUCCUGUCUGAACAUGGGGGGACCACCCUCCAAGCCUAAAUACUCGUACAUGACCGAUAGCGAACACAGUACCGUGAGGGAAAGGUGAAAAGCACCCCGACGAGGGGAGUGAAACAGUACCUGAAACCGAACGCCUACAAUCAGUCGGAGCCCCCUUGCGGGGUGACGGCGUACCUUUUGUAUAAUGGGUCAUCGACUUAGUGU
rnacentral:rRNA from 1 species